rnacentral:rRNA from 1 species
CAAUAGCGUAUAUUUAAGUUGUUGCAGUUAAAAAGCUCGUAGUCGGAUUUUGGCUGAGAACGAUCGGUCCGCCGUUAGGUGUGCACUGAUUGGUCUCAGCUUCCUGGUGAGGAGGUGUACUUCACGGCCACUUAGUCACCGUGGUUACUUUGAAAAAAUUAGAGUGUUCAAAGCGGGCUUACGCUUGAAUAUAUUAGCAUGGAAUAACACCAUAGGACUCCUGUCCUAUUUCGUUGGUCUCGGGACGGGAGUAAUGAUUAAGAGGAACAGUUGGGGGCAUUCGUAUUUCAUUGUCAGAGGUGAAAUUCUUGGAUUUAUGAAAGACGAACUUCUGCGAAAGCAUUUGCCAAGGAUGUUUUCAUUGA